UACGGAGGGUGCGAGCGUUGUCCGGAAUCAUUGGGCGUAAAGGGCGCGUAGGUGGCCCGGUCAGUCCGUGGUGAAAGCGCGGGGCUCAACCCUGCGUCGGCCAUGGAUACUGCCGCGGCUCGAGCACUGUAGAGGCAGGCGGAAUUCCGGGUGUAGCGGUGGAAUGCGUAGAGAUCAGGAAGAACAUCGGUGGCGAAGGCGCUCUGCUGGACCAUAACUGACACUCAGGGACGAAAGCUAGGGGAGCGAAUGGG
rnacentral:rRNA from 1 species